CCUUAGCCCCGAUAGGAACGGUUACCCCGCAACUUGAAGUGGGGCGUGGGAGGGAUUUUGGAGUUGCCAAGUGCUGGCGUGAGGAGUAUGAGUGGAUAGCGGGAUGAAGC
rnacentral:misc_RNA from 1 species